UAACUGACUGAGCAACCAGGCGCCCUAAAAUAAUCUUUUAAGGUGUUUUUUUUGAGAUCAUACUUAUGAUAGAACAGAUAUAAUUUUUAAGCCUUAGGUACAGCUCAUUUUCACUCUUCUGGUCCAGUUGUGGAGUAAAUAUAGGUUAUGUUGCCCUCCCAUCACAUACUAUCUCCUUCAAUUAAAGUAAUAAAAAUUGUAUUACAGUGCCUAAGUGAAAAUAGCCAUUAGAGCCUAACCAGCUUAAACAUUGAAGGGUGUGAUUACAUGUAGUGGAUACUGUACCAUGUACUUACAUAGAGAGCUAAAUAAAUUCAGGUUCAUGGUUAUUGGGAUUUGUCUUGUGAAAACUUGCUCAAGUGAAACGAAAUAUCAUUUCAUUUUUGGUUAACCUUAAGUUAACUUUUUGUUACUGUCUCCUGGGAGUAAAAUGACUAGGGAGGUGUCCCUUUUUAAAAUUGUGCUUGUAAAUCUAGUCUUUGCCUAGGGCUCUCUCAUUUUGGUACCACUUGUUUUUGUCAUUAUCUGCUACAACUAGCCUUGAGAGAGUGAGGAUGUUUUGGUAUAUAGACCAUAGGUAAUUGUGCUAUGUCACAAAAUAGUAUGAUCUCAUAGUUUUUUCUUAUUGAAGAUUUAAUUAAAUACAUUUUUAUUAAUAGCUUAUUAUCUGUCAGGCGUUCUGAUAGGUGGUAGAGAUACAAAAAAGAAAAAGGCACACACAGUUCCUGCC